UUAUCUGUGGACUUUUCAGCUGCAAAUGACUGAUCUUGAUUUCUGCUGCAAACGAUUAGCCUUUGACUCUUUAUCACCAGCUGAUGUUUGCUUGCACUCAGACUGCUCAUCUAGCUAGAUAUUCCAUAUGAAUCGAGGCUCCUCAGUGCCCAUGUUUCUGUCUUAUUUAAUUCUCCUGUAUUUACCUUGAUUUUAUUACGCUUCAAGGUAUGGUUGUUUUACAUAUAUUAACCCUAUUGACUCUAUUAUGGAUUGGUUUAAUUAUUUGUAACAGAUCAUAUUUUAAUAACACAUCUUCUAACAUAGAUUCUUUUUCCUCUGUAUUUUUAAGUUCUGUCAGUUGAACUUGGAUUUCAAUAUCCACCCUGAGGGGGUUUUCCUUGACUGGCUGUGCAUGAAGCUAGGAGCAAUCUAGAGAGACGAUCUUGUCCUAAUUCCCCUGAAGAAGCCAAGAGGCGAAACUAGUAGGGUCGACCUGAUCGAAAAAAAUAUUUUUAGACCUUGCUCCCACAAAAUAACUUAUGCACUAUUUGUAUUUUGAAUUAUUAUAU